UUCUGGUUCCCGUACGAUCAUCGACGUUAAGCAACGCCGAGCCUGUUCAGUACCUAGAUGGGUGACCGUUUGGAAAACCAGGCGCUGUAA